rnacentral:rRNA from 1 species
CGAAGCGACGCCGCGUGAGCGAAGAAGGCCUUAGGGUUGUAAAGCUCUGUCGAGGGUUAUGAAAUAUAGAUAGGUUAAUACCUUAUCUAUUUGACAAAAGCCCAAAAGGAAGCCACGGCUAACUCUGUGCCAGCAGCCGCGGUAAUACAGAGGCGGCAAGCGUUGUUCGGAAUUAUUGGGCGUAAAGGGCACGUAGGUGGUUUUGUAAG